UCAGGGAAAGACAGGUUUUGGAUAAGGGG
rnacentral:piRNA from 1 species